UGGUGCUGGAAGAAGUUCCUGAGCCCUUGAAUUCAGAGGUGAAUAAUCUGGAGGACUACACAUACUCUGUGGAUGACGUGAUUGUCAUGGAAAUUGAGGUGAAAGGCUCAGCGGAACCCUUCCAAGUUCUCUUAGAACCCUACGCCCUCAUCAUCCCAGGGGAGAACUACAUUGGCAUAAAUGUGAAGAAGGAUUUUAAGAUGUGGAACAACAGCAAGUCACCCAUCAGGUACACGUGGGGGAAGAUCAGCCAUUGCCACAUCAUUGAAGUAGAACCCUGCACAGGGGUCAUAGGUACCUUGGGGACUGCAGGGGGAGUGACCUCCCUGGGGUGGCUGCAGGAGGAGGUUUUAGGGUUCAAGGGGCCUGCACAAGGCCCUUGGUGUCUUGUGAUCAGCUCCAGCAUGGCAAGAAAUGAGUACAGGCCAGAUGUCUGGGCCCAGCCACAGAAGGAAACUUCUCCACCUCACUUUCCCCUCUUUCCCAGAGCCCAACGAGGUUGGGGAUUUUGAGUUGAACUUUACCGGGGGUGUCCCUGGCCCAGCAAGCCAGGACCUGCUGUGCGAGAUCAGAGACUCACCCUCGCCAGUGGUGUUACACAUCGAGGCUGCCUUUAAGGUGCUGCAUACGGGGGUUGGGUAGCAGGGUGGGCCCAGAGAGGUGGCAGGGGUAGGACACAGAGCCCAUUCCCUGGCUGCUCAGUAACAGAUCCCUCCGGAUGUCUCAGGGGCCUGCACUGGUCAUCAGCGUCUCGGCCCUUCGGUUUGGACUGCUCCGCCUGGGGCAGAAAGUCUCGAAGUCCAUCCAGAUCCGGAACAUCAGCCAGCUCUCAGCCAUGUGGCACAUGAGAGAGAGUCCUGUCUGCCUAGAAGAAAGGCAUGAAGAUGCAUCUCCCUUGGACAUUGAGCCUUCAAGUGGUUACCUUUACCCUCUGGGGGAGUGCCAGGUGACUGUCACCUUGGAGGCCUUGCACUGUCAGCGUCUGCAGACUGUACUAGAGCUGGAAGUGGAAAAAGGGACCUGGAGCUACCUUCCUGUGUAUGCUGAGGUACAGGAGCCCCACGUAUACCUGAAGAGCAGCCAGGUGGAGGUCAGCAACCUCUACAUGGGGGUGUCCACAAAGUCAACCAUCACGCUCGUCAACGGCACACUCCUGUUCACGCGGUUUCACUGGGGCAAGGUG
rnacentral:lncRNA from 1 species